UCAUGGUGAUGAUGAUGAUGAUGAUGAUGAUGAUGAUGAUGAUGAUCAUCAUCAUCAUCAUCAUCAUCAUCACGAUCAUCAUUAUUA
rnacentral:pre_miRNA from 1 species